UUAUCAACAAGGUUAACAGUUGGUAUUAAUCGCAAGAUCAAAGAGUCGCGUUGCCCUGCGUUGCACCGGAAGAAUAAUUCUAACGUGGCAAAGGAAUGCGUCAAAGGAUGAAGAUGUAUCGACGACGCAUCAUUUCGUAUAUUUUUCGAGACAUAAACCGCUCGGAAGCUCUUCUCUCAGGGCGGAAAAUAUCAUGCGCGACUUUAGAGGUUUAUAGAGGGUGCGAAAUACCAUUGAGGGAUGCGUCCUCGUUCGCAGAGUUUUACGCAAACCGAUGGGAACGGCGACGCAACGACAUUCUCCGAAAUGUCGUCCGGGAGAACAGCCAUAGAAUUUUUACGGGGCACGCUCAUAAAAGCGAGAUAAAACGCGGGGGAGACAGUUGUCCAUCGCGUUUGAUCGCGCUUACGUAUUCGGACGCGAGAACGAAACGCUUCGCGGGAUUGAAUCUGUGCCAGUAACCGUUUCGUUGCGUUACGGCAAAAUUAUCCGUCUAUCUUAAACGAAACCCGAUUACGAGUGAAAUUGAAGGAACGAUUGUCCAUCAAAGGGCACGUUGAUUGCCAUUGAUCGUAUCAAUGUCGGAUAUCGAAGACACAUUUACCAUAAUCGAGAACGCGAUUAUACUCCUUCCGAAAGAGAAGAUAAUAUCGCGCACGUUUGCUCUCAGCUUGGUAAUCAUUGGUGACUAUUGAAAACGCUGUUUAAAUCGGGUGCAGUUCAAAACCGCCCCUUGUUCGAAGGUUCAAUGACUGCGGUUUUCAUGAAAAUAAGUUCUUCGGGGAAACUUAAUUUUUCGAGCGAUGCAUCUCGCGCUACUUCGAAAUAGAGUACGCGCAAUGAAGAUACCACCAAGGUUUCCACGAGCAAGUUCCAUGACAUCUAACGGAAGUUGGAGUUUCGAUUUUAGUAAAAGUUUCGCGUUACUCCGACACGGUCCUAAAUCAGACUGAGAGCACCGGCAGGGUGCUCGUGAAAUCACUGUUGCGGUCAGACCUGCGGCUAUUUCAAUUGCAAUCAUCGCUUUCAAAUGUUAAUCACGCGUGCACGAUACGAUUAGAUUCGAUACGCGAAAAGUAUGCGCACUUUGAACUUGUGUCUCCUACUAUACUAAACUGAAGCAUACCGCUGCACAUUUUUCUUCCUCUUUCCUCUUUUUCUCUCGAAAAAUCGAUGCUGUUUUACGGUCAUCUUAAAAAUUCAACUCAAUUCAUAUCGAUUUUAGUUACACGGCAACUCGGUGGCAGAAACCACGCUCGUAACAAUUCGAACAAUCUCAAUCGCCACUUUUCCAAUCGCGAAUCAAACCGAUCAAACACACAGGGGAUGAGGAAUGAGGGGGGAGGAGAGGCGGAGGUCGAGAAGCGGGCGUCGAAUGCGCCGAAAUUAGAUUCAGUCUUCCCGAGUGGCCUCCGACUGCAGAAAUCACGGGCCAGCCCCCUCGUAUUCGAGAGUUUAACGCGAUUUCAGCGCGAGAUAUCCGACGGAGCCGGCACUGCCGCCGUUCAUCACGAACGAGCGAGCGGAGUUAACCCCCGGGGGUUCCGCGGCGCCCGCGAGCGCCCGCGAAAAUGUAUGAAGUCCUCGGGAUCUUUCCCGGUACUUCGCGAUUUAUCAUUCGCGACCACCAUCUUGCCAUCAGGGUGGUUUUGCCGUACGGACAGCGACCUCGCCGACGUUCCUGCUGCCCGCGAGACUCUAUCGGGGGAUGAAAGUUUCGGUCCUACUCGACGGGAGUGCUGUUUAUUCACGAAAUCAUUACCGAUCUCGAAAGCACGGCAAACAACUAUUGUAAGUCUUCCUCGCUUUCGCUCUUGUGCUGAUGCAAGACGAUGCCGACGAUGCCGGUCGACGAACAACGGGAUCGUUGAAGCGGCCCGGCGGAAUCUACCUGCACUUAAUUAUACUUCAGCGAAUUAACUAAUUAUCCUUCAUUUUUUUCUCGUUCCCAUUACUCGCGCUCUCGUGCUGACCUCGCCGGCGGCUGUAUCCUCUCACCCCUUAAACCUUAUUCUUCUCCGUCUAACGGAAGAGCCGGCUCGAGUGCAUUCGCAGUCUAGCAAGCGCAGUUCCUCGAUCGAUAUUCCUGUCCGCUUUCAUCGUAACUAUAGCAACGGUGGUUCGCGAAGAGAUCACCCUUAGCCCACCCCCGACCCGGACUCGUUUGUACCACGCAAAGAUUCGGCUCUAAUUAUAAUCUUCGACCUCACCUCGCGAUUCUACCGUUCGGGGCGAUUGCUUUCAUCGUCGGUAUAACGAUCCCUUUGUCGUUGAUGCGAUCGAAUGAUACCUCCCUUUCGUCCUCUCUUUCUUUCCCUCUCGUCUCCCUCUCGUAAAUGGACGCGCCGAACGACGUGGGAUUUGGGUGGGCUAUUUAUAUCCUGCCGCCUGUCAAUCCGUUAAAUCAGAGAUGGAUCGAUGUGAUUUUUCGUGACGUUAAGGUGCCGUCGAGGUAUCCGUUAUAGUUAACGGGAAAAUCGAGCGUAUCGCCACCGCGACGUACCGACACUCCAUAUCCGCUAACUGAAAUAUCAGAAUCUGUCCGCGUUAAUGAACAGGGACAAUGGUGCAUCGAUCUUGCCAUCCAUAACGCUACGCCCGACGGAUUCCGUCACCUGUACGCCACGUUUGCGUCUGGAAAACAGGUUGAAUCCGUUCGCGUCGAUGUCGACGCGCGCGUCUCGCGUAGCGCGCUGUUUUCAGCGAACAUUUCAAGCAACCGGGAUUACCAAAACGUCGCAAAAUACAACGCGAAAGCUGAAAUUAUGCCCGAACUCCGAAAUUUAAUUAGCUCAGGGCUCAGUCCAGCGGCUUGAGAGAUCGCCCGCUAAAAGUUCUCGACACUUUUAAUUUAAAUCCGAGCUCAUAUCUGGAGGGAAAAGGAGCGGCAGGAAGAAAGAAAGAGAACGCGGCCGGGGAGAAAGACACGGUGGUUGACGGCACUUCGAAUAACAUCAUACAAACCGUAUCCCAUUAAUUAAAUUCCUCCCAAGAAGUUCUGCAACGAUGGAUACCGCGAGCUAACGUCGAUGGUUCAUUAGAUCCGGAAUCGACGCGAUCGAAAAUAGUUUUCCGCGCGCGCCGUCUGUUCUCUUCUGUGCUCGAGACUACUUUUCGUACGAGCGAAAAGUUCGAGAGAGCCAAGACAUCCCGAUGUCGCGAUUCAAGUAACGAGCGUUCAUUAAAAUAAUUAGAUGUUUGCUGGUAGAUUAAGAGGACGUCGAUCAUUACGAUCGACGAUUACGUGUCUUUUCGAUCGUACGCGCGAAUCUGUUCUUUCUCUUCGCGAAUCUCUAGCCGGUAACGCAACACGAGCAUUGUCGGGGCGCGUGUUUUAAAGCCAGAAGUGUCAAAGAGUUUUCAGUGCUUUCUAUUUCCAGUGGUUUGUAGGAGAGCACAUUGUGCGAUGGUAAAACGUCGUCGCGUGACAGCUAUGGUCGUAUAUGAUAUACACGAGGUCGUGAAACGAUGUCUGUGUGUGUAUAUAUGUGUGUAGGUACAUGUCUGAUAUGCACAGUGCUACAUGAGAGCACGGUGCACUGGCUAAAGUCAAAAGUGUAAAAGCUUGCGCUUUCCGGUCGAUCUCACCCUUUCGCUUUUAUCUGCAACGGAGGAGCCGUGGAGGACGUGCAUGGUUCACGACGCGUUUUUAACUUUCGCAGCCUGAUGGUGCACCUACGUGGCCGGGACACGCGGCGACCAAAGCACCGUGGAGAAUGGGUGCCCUGAAUUGAACCUAAAUCCGAUUUAGAUCAGAAGCGGCAGUCGUUGCGCGCUAUAUCUAUAAUCCCUUCAAAAGCUCCGGACAUCGUAAUUGGAGCGUGUCUAAGGUACGUCCGCCGCCUUCCGUCUCCCGUCUGGGCCCUCCGGGCAGGGUUACCUCGUCGGGGAAAAAUUGGCGGAAUUAAAUGACCGGCAGAGAGAAGCCCUUGAGGGUGGAAACGGCUAGAAUCGUUCGCGAUCCUCCUCGUGCGAUCACUCUCGAAAGGAUACACAGCUGCCUUAAAUUGAAGUCGCGAUCAAUCCGGCUGGAGUAUCCGGUAUCCGGUUAUACACAUCGCGCAAACGAGCGUUACUCAAACUGCCGGCCGAUUACGGCGUUUUUAUACGUACACGGGAUAAUGAUCCGCGGGGAGAAAAACUGGACGGUGAAGGUACGAGGUUUCUCUUUUCUUCAAGAAUACCUUCGAACUCCUUCGAGAAUGGAAGAGCACAAUUCUGCAUUAUCGCGUAGCAGAAUGCAUAACGUUUUGCGCGGCGGGAAAGCACGCGGUACGCCGUUAACUAACCCGUUACGUUACGUGUAAUUAUGCGUAAAGCGCUAUGCGAGAAUGUAAUUAGAGCGUCUCGCGUUUGAUCGUACAUCGCCAAACCGACAAUCAUGGGGACACGACCGGCUGACCUCCGCACAUCAAAGCUAUUCAGGGAGCUCUAGCGUGGGCAUUAAUUUCUAAUUAACGUCUGAUCGAUAUGGCAGACCGAACGACACGUAACGUACUGCGUUUCUAUACGAACGCUAGAGCAGACUGCGCGCCUUUGUGCAUUAUAGCUCCAUCGUCCACGCGUUGUCGCGAUCAAGGCGCGUUUCACGCUCUCGACAAGAUUUCAAGCUCGCAAUUGGCUGUAUUAGAUCGCGUUAAGGUGCUAAAGGCACGAGGACGUACUUUAGAAAAGUGGCGUAAAUAUUAAUUAAUCUCGGCUCGGCGUUGCAGCUCCGCGGGCAGACUCUCGAGCCUUUCUCUCGAAACCGGCGGAAUGGCGAAGAAGAGGCGCAAGAAAAAUGCGAGACGUAAAACGUGCUCGUUCCCGUCCGUUUUUAUCAUGACGUAUAUGUACGCGCGAGUACGCAUAUUACGGUCGCGUGUGUGCGGGUCUGUCAGUGAAAAAGUACACUUAAAACGCCGGACGUUGCAACGACAAAUUCUCGCCCCCCAGGAUUUUUAAAAAUGCCACUCGUUUCGCAGAGAGAGAAAACUCUCCACAAAAGAUAAAGAGAGAGGAAGAGAGAGAGCGAGAAAAAGAGAACGCGCCUGCACGUGAUUAUCGGCAUGCGUUCCCGGGUAGUUCGCUAAAUAUCUACAGGUUGUUCGUCGCAGCACGUACAUUGUUCGGGAUAAACAUACCGAUUUCGUUAGCAGUGGUUUGGCUCGUCUCCAAAACGCUUACGCGAGCGAAUGACACGCGAGUUACAACGCUUUCAAAAUGCAAAUUGGUCUUUGUUUAAUCUGGAGUGACGGAUCCACGAAAAUCCAAGAUGAAAGAUAAUGCUGGAAGUCGAAUUAUACGAAGAUAAUAUGACAUCCUUUCCUUCAACGAGGAGUCGAUGCUUCACGAGUUACAAGCGAUUGGAAAUAAAUGGCUCUCCUUCGCUAUCUUUCUUUCCCUCUACUCUUUCUCUCUGCUUCUCUCCCGUCUACUCGAGAAUGAAACUUCGCAGCAAGGAACAGAUAAUAAAAUCUUCCUCGCGAGUUAUUUUCAAGCGAGUUCUACACCUUAAUAGAAUUUUAAUUUAACUGUUAAUUAAAAUCGGCGUUCGGAAUCGAACUCUUCACCUUCAGUUAAUUGACUUCAAAAAUUCUCCGCAACAGCAGAAAUUGUGAUAAGAAGAAACAAGAUAAUCAAAUCUGCGUUUUUCGUGUUCUGAUAACGCGACAUUUAUUAUACGAUACAUCAAGAAACAACGUUGCGGCAUGCAAAGAAAGCGCGUUAAAUCUCUAUCAUUCAUUCGAGACGUGGACGAUAGCGGAUACGUGUGCACGACAUAAUAUAUACAUGGUGCAGUGGUUUACGCACCCCCUAAUGGGACAGAGCGAGACAAGCGAUCAACACUCUCAGGAAAUGUCGAUAGGGUAAGCAAUUUCCCAACGCCAUGCGCGCCGAUACAUCACUUGUUACCAGCCCGAUAUUGUCAAGCUAAUCAAACUUCGCGAGAACAAAUAAUUACCGUCUUUCCGGUUCGCAUAAAUCGACUCGAACCCUUACCGUCCAUGCAAAUUUUGCACCCGCGUGAAAUUUUUAUGCCUCCCUUGAGCGUUUUACGCGCGAGCGAAGAAUACAACAGCUGCGCGUAGCGCACUGAAUAACUCGACUUUAUACGCUGCCACGUUACGGUCACUAAUAAAAAAGAAAAAGAUUCACCGAAUAAAAAGAUCUUGCGUGCAUAAACUUCCAUUAGAGGCUUCAACGCGCAGAGUUACGAUUGAAACCGUAAAAAGCUACCCCCUUUUUUAUAUUCUUGCUUAUCGCUUUGAGGAUUCUCGCUCAACAAAAUAGGAGGAAGGUACUUGCGGCAGAUGCGGUCUACGAAAUAUUCAUCCGACGUAUAAAUAAAACGGACAAAUUCGCUUUGCAGUGCGCGCCCCGAAUAACGACGGGGGCACGAGAAGCGCAACCCCUCGAAUGGCACAGCGAGGGCGUAGCGAAGGAUUUAAUGGACGUUACGCGCGAUCCGCUCUUAAUUCGAUGAAAUUGAUGACUCGCCGCGAUCUCACCGAGCCGGACGAGAGAAAUGAGGGAGUCCGCGGAGCGAAAAAUUGUAUAAGACGCGCACUCCACGCGGAUCUGCUCCGUGUGCGCGGGAGGACAACGCAUGUUCGGCUUGGUUCUUCAACUAGUUUCUUUUUCAUUGAGCAAUAUUCUCGCUGCUUGACGUGCCUCUGAUACCUACUCGUGUCCAUCUAUUUGUUAUUAGGGAUGUAAAUGUGGUAAUUUCGCGCCGGUAAUUACCAGGCUCGAGCACAAAAGUGACGCUUUUGAACGGGGAGAGCUAGCGCGGGGUACGCGCCGCCGGGUUACCCUGAAAUUACCCUAUCGAACGACGCCUGAAUGCGCGCCUCAACGUUUUCUCAAUUGACGCGCGAGAUCCAGCCGAACAGCCCGAUCAUUAGAGUCGUCAUGAGCGCCGAGAGGUAUUUCCUCCUGCUUCCCCCGGUUUCCUCCUUCUCUUGCUCCUUUUGAUCGGACGUCAAGGAGCCCGCAAUUAAGUAGCUUCGUCUGUCCGUCCGUCCAUCCAUCCGUCCGCCCGUCCGUUCAUCCCGCGAUGUUUCGCGCGAGCUGCGUGCAUGCAACUUCCAGAUCGAAGUUUCUCCGUAUCCACGCGCGAAGAACAAGCGGGAGGGAUUUAUCUUCGCGUUUCAUAAGCAGCGGAAUUUCCGACGUGCGUAAUUGAAAGCCGACCAGCCAAGCAAAUUAAAUAACAUCGACACAAUCGCGACUACGAAAUUAAAACGCGACGAUUCGCGCGAUACAAUCGCAGCGGAUAACGAGGCGAAGUGACGAGAGGCGAUACGUCCUCGUUACUUUACGCAAUGAUCAAGUAAUUGGUCACUGACGAUUACGAGGCCAAUUUUGCGCCGCGAGAUUGCCGGAAAUGCCUGCAAGUAGAUCGAUAUAAGGCACUGCGAUGAAAUUGCGUUCCGCCAUUCGAGAAAAUUGAACGGUAUCAUUAAACGCGCGCGGCGCCGAGGAGAGAUCGACGAUCUCCAACUGACAAAUCGCGGCGCCCAGUAGCAUUAAAGCGAGGUAACGGCGAUACCCACGGAAUAUUUAAAAAUAACUCAACGGCUUUUAAAUGGACAAUCAUGGUACCUGCCGACGUUACACAUUAUUACGACAGAGGAACUCGACAGAGGAUCGGGCAAAGUGUCUGAAAGGAGUGUCGCCCGUGAAGGACACUGCAACGGGAAGACAGUCGAUCAAAUUAACUGGAGUACAGCAAUUAAAGCGUCUCUACCCUUUUCCCUUUUCUCUUCCUGGUUAUUCGAUUUACACAUCGGACUCGGUCGUCGCCGCCGCCGCCGCCGCCGCCGCUGCCAUCAUCGUAGUCUCCCUCGUUCUAGUACUUCUCUUGCCGUCCUCGGCGUCGUCGACGUCGCUUGUUACUCAUUAGUCGAAAUUAAGACAAGACGGGUACCGUGUAAUGAGGAGCACGAACGCCGAGAGCGGAAGAGGGGUAAGUACGAGCGAUUAUGCCUCUCUCUCACGGGGUAGAAUGCGAAGGUGGAUUGGAGUCGCGUUAGAAGGAAGUAUGAUGGUUCACCAGACAACCACCGGGGAAACCGCCACCGGCGGCGGCCACCGUCGCGGCUGAAUCGAUAUAGGGGUGGCGGCGCGCACACGAGGAAACCCCACGACCGACGACGCCCCGCCGCCGCGAAAUUGAGUCCAUUAUCGCCCCGGCCAGGUACCCACCAAUACCAUCGAUAUUCGUUUAACGCGCCGUUUCCUCCCCGGCGCGGGGCAAACAAGGGUUGGGCGAGAAAUAUAAAAUUUAAGAAGUGAAGCCGCGCGCGAGAGAGGAGACUGUCAGAGUCAUCGUUUCACGAAAAAGGGACAUCGAAAGGGAGGAUGCGGAAGAAGGAGCGCUCUACACGGCAUGUCUUCUUUCAUCCCUCCUCUCACCCCCGGAUCUCGAUUCUUUCCCGAUGAGGGAAUAUAUUUUUCAUGGCCGAUGAUAAACUCGCAUUAACACCUCUUACCUCUUUAUACCACCCCGUGAAUUAAUCAGGCUCGAAAUUUCCACCGCUUUGCUUAAACUGCGUAAAUAGAUUAUGAACCUUAUCGUUACACCGCGGUAUGAGGUUUUCUCCGUUAAUAGCCUGAACAUUGCAUCGGCCGUUAUGGCGUUAUAAUGUUGUCUACCACAUUAGUGAAUGUUCAAAAAAGCAUUAUAAACCCUCGCGGCACCGAGGAGUUAUCGAAAUGGAAUUAAUCCUCCGACAACACUUCCGACAACGCGGUAGUUUUCUGUCACACAGAGAAGCUAUCACGGGAGACCAGUAAGACCAGCGAAAGACGAAGACGAGAACUGUAGCUAAAAAACGUGUAAGGAAAUGAAAAAAGAUAUAUUGGCAAUCUGAGGGAACAAGCAUGCGGGAUACCGCAGCGGCAGGAAUCCGGAAUCGGCGGCAGGGAUCGCGCGUUUCGUUAAGAUCGACAGAUGUUGCCACGCUCUCGGGACGUAGCACUUGAGAAUAAACAUCAACCGGUCGGUCCAGCAGCCGCUUUCGCGCCUCUCAGCCUGAAUAACCCACAGCCACCAGGCUGCGGCUCCCUAGCAAUCCCUCAGAGUCCGCGGGUGUUGUUUCCCCCGCGUGAGUUUACGCACCAUUGGCCACCAAUCUUCGGAAUGAAAUUGCCGUUGUUGAGUAGAGGCACUCUCGGGCGAAUCCUGUUUCGCGAACGGCGCGCGAAAAAGCGAGGCGAGAGAGCAAGCGAAGGACCGAGGGAGCGAGCGACCGCGAGAGACUGUUGUAAGCGAAGGGAGAAAAAGGGAGAGCCGGGAACUCGACCGGCCGAUUGGACGGAAUGCGCGACGACUCGCGCGAAACGGCGGAACCGGCAUGCGAUCUCGCCGACACGUCGAAUGAUCGCAUUUAUUUAAGCACGUCCGGCGAUACGCGAGCGAUUCGCCGCCACCGCGCGCUUGCAUGCUCGACGCAUUACACGUUGUAAUUCCGGCCGGUUGUAACUUGUAACCCGGCCGCGGCUGUACGCUGGCAUUACUCGGCGCGCUCAACUCGCACGCGUAAGCAAGCGGCAACCCGCGUACAACGACGCUGGGAAACGAUGUAUCAAGUACGUAAUGGGAUCGCUGGGGUAGCAAUAUGCGGUGAGGGUGAACUACCGAGCGGCCCCAGUCUCGUUCCGAUUUCAUCCCCAACUCUCCGGGAACGUCUUCGACCGAAUCUCCUCGCGAAAUCCGUCGUGAAUACGUGCGUGAUUGCAUGGAGAAGACAGAAAGAGGAAUAGAGAGAAACAGAGAGAGACAGAGAGAGAUAAAGGGGAGAAUUACCCGGGAUACUCUAAAACCGCCGGUAGCUCGAGGAAGUAGUGCAAGAGAACUUGAGAUUAUUAGUGCUAUUAAUGUUCGCUCAGAGUCAAAUUAUUUCACGAAUACGUCUAAUUAAUUCCCACAGAUCUUUGGGAAAAACAUUUGAUGACGAUUUGCACAACGGUAGUUGAAGACAUGGUGGGAAAUUUGCGAACACGGUGAUCGCAACGCUCCGAAGCAGGAAAUCAUGUUGAUUCGUAAAAAGAUUCGCGUAGACGAUAUACGUGGCGAAUCGAUCGGACUCGUCUUUCGCAGCUCUUGCGAAUCGAUCGCGCAAACAGUGUGUACGUAAUAAGGCAACAACUAGCAUGACGUAUUUGGUCAUACAUGCACGGCGUGAACCGUGAGGUACCGUUUGUGCCUCUAGUUUAAAGCUAAAGUGCGGACCGGCUGCGAAAUUAGCGGAAACGGCGGCAGCUUCCGUCGAUUCUCGUCGGCUUCGCCGACAAUCAUCGCCCGGUUGCACGCGGCGUUUAAUCACGUUACAUCAGUACGACAGUCCUAUCAAAGUAACGAGGUGCGCGCAGGGUCGCAGGGAGGGACAUACGUGCGGCAUGGGACUCCAAGUUUCAUCGCAAUCGAUCAUCUCUGAUUACUCCAUCGUGCACACGGUUGCGCGCGUCGUAUACCGUAUACCGUCGACUAUCGACACGGACCGUGUACUUGAGUUCUUAAGGUAGACGAGGUAGACCGGCCUCGAGCGCAGAUCAAAGGAAGUAACGUGCAUUAGCGACGAUCGACGUUUACUCCACCGCACGCGAAACUGACGAAACGAACCGUCCGUCGCGGUCGCCGUAUUUGACGUGCAUCGCCAAUGCGAGAACGCUCCUCUCAUGUCGCUUGUAAUUGUUCCGCAUGGAUUAAAACUCGAAACGGACUGUUUACCUGCCUAUUAUGAUUCUGGAAUGCCAUUCGGGCAUUUGCGUGCAUUUGUCGAUUGCGUAGUCCAUCGGACUUGGCGGAUUGGCGAACGUGGAAGAAUGAACUAACGAUGAAGAACUAACGCAGGCCACGUAGCCAAGAAUUAAUUUGUAGAUUUAUAAUCAUCAAUUUAUCGGAUCAAUGGGUAAAUUAAAGCGAUGUAGUCGGUUUCUUUUUGGAUCAUCGCAGAGGCAUCACAGUAGCGAGGAAAAUUGCGAAGUCUACGUUGAAGAAUCUACGUUGUAAAUCGCGGAAAAGAUGAUAAAAAUUAUCGAAAAAUAUAGAAAUAAGUAAUUAAUUCUCCAAGCUGAUUAUUAUUAAUAAUAAUGUAUUACAUUAUAUAUUAAUAAAAUCACUAUUUAAUAUCGCCGAUAGCGUUGGCAUGAGCGAAUGUUUCAUCAAGACUGGUCAAUGACGAUUCACCCCUCUUGAUCCCGCAGUUACUCGAUGCAUCUGACAAAUUUCUACGAGACGGAACCAAAUGGCUUGCGGGAGAGGUCGACGUGCUUAUCACCGGAGAGAGUACGAGAGCGGCACGCGAAAGUUCUCCUUCGUUACGGAUGUCAUAUGCGACGAUGAUGAGGGAAGCGGAAGCGAGCUCGCUCGCGAACUUUGGACAGCGGGGGUCAAGAAGUCAUCGAGAGAACCGCUUCUCAAAACGAAUACACGCACGUAGGAGCAAUGGGGGAAUUCACAGGGGGUUCAUGACGGGGUGAUUCGGUGCUUGGCUGACUUCUUGCGUAUUGCCAUUAGCUUUAACGAUCCGGCGCGCCACCGACGCGGAUUUACAUGAGCCGCACUGUAAUAGAUCGGCAAGGCGGGGGAGGGAAGGAAGAGGUGACGAUAAAUUUCAUAUUCUACUGCCUGGCCGGGGGUUCACGGGCUGUCUCGCCCGUACGACGCGUACGGACCUGUAAUUUAAUGCGUGUUUUGCGAGACGUCCCUUUAUGCGGCUCCCCGGGACACGCCGGCCAAUCACGUUUUCACGGCGACGAGAGAUGAGCGCGUCUCAUUACUAUAGUUGUUAGGUAAUUUGUUCCAUCUUAAUGUAACUUCUUCUUGUUUGUCCCGUCGCGCAAUACGGCACACGGACGCUUGAUUGAGUACGGUCAUAGGUAUACCACGCUCGCGGGUCUCGAGAGCUUCCGGCUGCUUGGAAGAACGAAUUAUGGCGAAUGGAGAACCGAAAGCACCGCCGAGGCGUUCAGCAUUAUUUUCGAUUCGCAAGAACUGGCGGGAUUAACUUCCGGAGACACACGCGAGAAAUCAUUUUAAGUGGCAAAUAAGAGACUUGGAGAAACGUUCGAGUCUUCUUCACCAAAAGCUCCUCGUCCGUCCUUUAAUUUGUGCCGUUAUUUUACGUCCAAUUUUUAGCAGCAGUAGAGUGCAUCGCGAUCAUCAUGCGUUUUUUUCCAUCCUAUUUAACAAUGAUCUUGAAAGCUAUUUAAAGAUUAGCGAUGUACUGCGUCCGUGAAGAGAAUUGCGUUCAGCGGUGCUUCGCUUCUGUCAAUAUUUUAUUUACUACUUUUGGUGCAGUUUCGACGCUCCUCGUCCGUAAUCCGAGGAUUUGAAAACGUUUGUAAACUCGACGCACGGAUGAAUUUUCGAUAUUUCACAUCGAGUAUCGCUGCGCCAGAGCGUUCUAUCUCUCCGUGAGAGGGAUGGAGCCGCUAAUUCCGUAAUACAUACGAUUUUACAGAGAGAGGAGAGAAUGGGCGUCCGUAGAGCCGUGGUACAAUUACGAGCAGCGGCAUAUUUGAGUGGCAAUCGAAAGUCGAGGAUUUGAAUCCUUAAAAACAGCUAGCCGUAUUAACCCAGAUCCAACUGGAAAAUGGAUCGCGCGGAUGCGUGCUUUGUACGAGAAAUAAAAUUAGCGGAACAGUUUAAAAUUCUGUUUUUUUUCCUGAUAUUUGAGAUCCUACAUUUGCAAACUGUAAUACUUUAAUGCAUUUCAACGCAUCUCAGUAAACAUCCUCAACGCAAUAAACGCAAAACUGUUCGCAACUCACAAAUAUUACAGCGAUUAUUGUAUUUCAUAUAAUUUCACUUACUUAAUGUAUUUCAUAUUGUUCACAAAAUCUUUCUUCUCGAGACAAUUUAUCGUUAAAAGAAAUUCCUCAGCAGGAAUUUCAGUGGAAAUGCAAAAUAGAAUCAAUUCCGUUUAUGAUCCGUCUACAAUCUUUAUAUAUCCAGCGAUCUUUAUCACGUCGCG